rnacentral:rRNA from 1 species
GACGAACGCUGGCGGCGUGCCUAAUACAUGCAAGUAGAACGCUGAAGAGAGGAGCUUGCUCUUCUUGGAUGAGUUGCGAACGGGUGAGUAACGCGUAGGUAACCUGCCUUGUAGCGGGGGAUAACUAUUGGAAACGAUAGCUAAUACCGCAUAACAAUGGAUGACACAUGUCAUUUAUUUGAAAGGGGCAAUUGCUCCACUACAAGAUGGACCUGCGUUGUAUUAGCUAGUAGGUGAGGUAAUGGCUCACCUAGGCGACGAUACAUAGCCGACCUGAGAGGGUGAUCGGCCAAACUGGGACUGAGACACGGCCCAGACUCCUACGGGAGGCAGCAGUAGGGGAUCUUCGGCAAUGGGGGCAACCCUGACCGAGCAACGCCGCGUGGGUGAAGAAGGGUUUCGGAUCGUAAAGCUCUGUUGUAAGUCAAGAAAGGGUGUGAGAGUGGAAAGUUCACACUGUGACGGUAGCUUACCAGAAAGGGACGGCUAACUACGUG